GUUUUCAUUUUAAUGAUCUGUGACUAGUAUUUUUAUUUCCAUUUUCUUGCAAUCAUUAAAGUGUGAGGAAUCAUACUUGUUUUUUUUUUCCUGUUGUUUUCUUUAAAAUUUGAACUUGGGCUGGUUGAGGUUCCAUCCCAUGUGUAUAUGUACUGUCUGUGCCUCCAGAACUUCUUCAUUUGUCUCAUCUCUUUUAAUUGAGUGUCCUUCUUGAAUUGUUUUCAGUUAUGGAUCAAAUUCGAUAAAAUUUGCAUGUGCCAUUAUACUGCUGCUAGUGACAUGAGCUGAACAAUUUAGCUCGUGUUUAUUCUACUAGAAUGACAUAAGUUGUAAAAGAGUUCUAACAGAUCAUAGAAGUGAGAUAUUUUGAGAGAAAAGUUUAGAAUGAAGAAGUGAAAAAUGAGUAUUAGCCUCUGAACUGAGUUACAACUCAGUAUUUAUAGAUCUGAGUGAUUAGUUAUGACCAACUAAUUCACCAACUAACUUACUAACACUCAUAACAGAAAACUAACUCCUAACUAACUGGCUUAAUUGAGAGUGUAGUUGAACACUGCAACUCUUUGUACAAUACUCUAAUACCCCCCUUCAAGGUGGAUGAGACUUUGAAGGAGUCUCAAGCACAUUGAGUUUGGUCCUUAGAAAUAAAAAUCUGGUUGGAGAGAGGGGCUUGGUGAGAGCAUCUGCCCACUGAUCAAGAGCCAGAAUAUGAUGAACAACCAGCUGCUUGGACAAGACUUUUUCUCUAACAAAGAAGAUGUCAAUGUCCAUGUGCUUGGUCCGAGCAUGAAGAACAGGAUUAUUGGCUAUAGCAACUGCUCUCUGAUUAUGACAGAAGAUAAUGGGAGUGAUGAAAGGAACUUGUGGCUCAGUUAAAAGGGUCUGAAUCCAAGAUAAUUCAGCAGUAGUUUGAGCCAAACUUUGAUAUUCUGCCUCUGUACUGGACCUUGCAACAACUUGCUUCUUUUGGGACCACCAAGAAAUGAGAUUAGGACCAAAGUAGAUGGCUGAACCAGACGUGGAUCUUCUGUCUUCACUAUCAGAAGCCCAAUCAGCAUCACAGAGAGCACGAAGAGGAUAAGGUUUCCCCAGAGCAGCAGGUCUAAGGUGUAAUCCAUGCAACAUUGUACCUUUCAAGUAUCUUAGGAUUCUUUUUACUGCAGUCCAAGGAGGGUCUAAAGGAUUGGCCAUAAACUGACAAACUCUUUUAACUGAGUAGCUGAUCUCAGGUCUAGUAAUAGUUGAGUACUGUAGGGCACCCUCUACAGAUCUAUAUAGAGUAGGAUCAGAAAAGAGGUCUGAACCUGUUUUAGUAAGUUUGCAGCUGGAAGCAAUAGGGGAGGAAAUAGGUUGAGCUUCUGACAUAGAAGUUUUCUGCAACAAAUCUCUGAUGUAUUUCCUUUGAGUGAGAAGUAAUGAUCUGUCACGAAGAGUCUUAACCUCAAUCCCCAAAAAAUAGUCUAGCAGACCAAGUUGUUUGAGAGAAAACUUUGAAUUAAGUUGUGAAGUCAGAUGGUGAACCAAGUUAGUGGGACUGCCAGUUAUUAUAAUAUCAUCCACAUAAACCAAAAGAUACAGUGCGAGAGGAAGUCUUGUAAACAAAUAGAGAUGGAUCACAUUUACUAGCAACAAAUCCAAACUGAAUAAAAGCAGACUGCAGGCUCUCAAACCACGGUCUUGGGGCUUGCUUGAGCCCAUACAAGGCUUUAUUUAGUUUGCAGAUCAGAGAAGGAUUGGAUUGUUGGAAACCAGGAGGUUGAGUCAUAUAGACAGUCUCAUUAAGCAAGCCAUUAAGAAAGCCAUUGUUGACAUCUAUUAGAGUGUACAUAUGUACAACUGUUAAAACAGUUUAGUAAGAGCUGUUAGCUUUUGCUAACAGCACCUCCGUCUUAGCUAUUAACAGCUGCACUCUCUAAGUUCAGAGUCCUAUAAAUAUCUCUUUGUAACUAACUCUGUGACUAACUUUUGUGAUACUCAAUAAUAUGAGAUUCUCUCUUUCUGUUACACAAAAUUUCUCUCAAUUUAUCUUAGAACAUCUAGCUGAGUCAGCAUCCAUUAAUUUGUGAUUGCUAUAGUUAAAGUAAGCCUAAUAGUGACAGGUUUCACAACUGGAGAAAAGGUUUCUGAAAAAUCAAAACCUUGUACUUGAUUAUAACCUUUGGCAACCAGUCUUGCUUUAAAUAUGUUAAUAGAGCCAUCUGCAUUUUCCUUGACCCUAAAAACCCAUUACAACCAAUAGCAUUCCUGUUUGAUGGAAGAGGUACUAGAUCUCAAGUGUGAUUCUUUAUUAAAGUUUCAUAUUCCAAUUGCAUGGUUGAAUGCCAAUUCUCCAAAGAGUGGAUUUGCAAACCUUGACCAUUGUCUAUGAAUAUCUGAUUAGGACCUUCAAAAGGCUCUAGUUGCUGAAUGUUUUGAGAUUCACCAGUAACAUAGAAUGAAGCACCAGAAUCUAGAAUCCAAUUGGUAGAAUUGGAUUGAGGUUGAGUGUUUGUGAAUAGCACUAUGAUUGGACUGAGGAUUGUUACUGACAGAUUUGUAAUUGGUAUUAGUCCAAACAUUAGCAGGUCUAGUAUCACCAGAGUUUUGGCCAGAACUGUUACUAUUUUGUGAAUAACUGGUGUAGUUAUUUGAAGUUUGAGUGGAAGUGGUCUGAGAAUAACUUGGACUGAGAGGAUCAUGAAGAACAAAGGACAGGUUUGGUUGAUAAUACUGAUCAUAGCGGUAAUUGCAAACAGAAGCAGUGUGACCAAAUUUGAAACACACCUGACUCUGGAAGUUGGCAAAAUGACCACUGCUGCGGCCGUGACCAGCACCACCACCACGGCAGUGAGAACUACCACUACCACGGCCAGAUCCACCACAAAAAGCGGGAAAACUCUUCGGAUUUGUCUUGUUUGGCAGAGAAAAACCAUCGGAGCUGAUCGCAGAAGACAUAUGAUGUGCUUGUGAAUAAUUGAUGAAAGGUGAAUCAGACUGAAACUGUUUGCUGAAUUUGUUGAGACGCGCUUUGUGAGCAAGAAGAGCUUCAACUUGCUCUAUCGGAAGCGGUUCAAACUUGUUCCAGUUCAACAUGGAAUAUUACUUCCUAUUUCAGCCUCAAUCCUGAUCUAUCUCCUCUUGUUUCAGCCUCUACACCUUCACUUUCCCCAAUACCUUCCUCCAAUUCCACUUCCAGUCAUUCUCAAUCAUCCAAUAUAAUGUCGUCUAGUGAAUCUAUACCCACUGCACCCUCUCCCACUCAUCCUCAAUCAUCAAAUACUAUGUCUCAUAAUGAAUCUGUGUCUGCAUCAACUCCCAUUCCCAUCAACACUCACCCUAUGCAAACUAGGUCUAAAUCUGGAAUACACAAUCCUAGGCUGCAUCCUUCAUUAUUUCUUACUCAUUCUGAACCUAAAAGUGUAAAGCAGGCCUUGGAAAGUUCAGAGUGGUUUGCAACUAUGCAGGAGGAGUAUAAUGCUCUAAUGAGAAACAAAACUUGGGAUUAGUUCCAUUACCAGCUGGUAGACAAGCUAUUGGAUGCAAGUGGGUCUUUAGAAUAAAAGAAAAUGCUGACGGUUCAAUCAAUAGGUACAAAGCUAGACUAGUUGCUAAGGGAUUUCAUCAAGUUCAUGGCUUUGACUUUCAUGAAAUAUUUUAUCCUGUUGUAAAACCAGUUACAAUUAGAGUAUUUCUAACUCUUGCUCUCUCACAAGGCUGGGACUUAUUUCAGCUUGAUGUCAACAAUGCCUUUCUAAAUGGAUUACUUGAGGAGACUGUCUAUAUGACUCAACCUGCAGGUUUUGAAGUUGAAGAAAAAUCCUUGGUUUGUAAACUUAACAAGGCUCUCUAUGGAUUAAAGCAAGCUCCAAGGCAGUGGCUUGACAGUAAUACAGAUUGGGUUUGUAGGAAGCAAGUGUGAUCCCUCUUUGUUCAUUUAUACACAUCAACAACACACUGUCUACAUUCUAGUUUAUGUAGAUGAUAUCAUCAUCACAGGAAGUUCUAAUUCUCUCAUUCAACAGUUAACCUCGAGAUUGAAUAUAGUCUUCUCUCUCAAACAGCUAGGUCACUUGGACUAUUUCUUGGGACUGGAGAUUAAGUAUCCCCCUAACAGGUCUAUUUUGAUGUCUCAAAGCAAGUAUGUCAGAGAUCUACUUCAUAAAACUCAAAUGGCUGAGGCACACUCUAUCUCUACUCCUAUGGUUACAAACUGCAAACUGUCCAAACAUGGAGCUGAUCUAUUUCAUGAUCCAACUCUCUAUAGGUCAGUAGUGGGUGCCCUACAGUAUGCCACCCUUACUAGACCUGAGAUUAGUUAUGCUGUUAAUAAGGUUUGUCAGUAUAUGGCUAAUCCAUUGGAUUCUCAUUGGGCUGUGGUCAAAAGGAUAUUAAGAUAUCUCAAGGGUACUAUAUUUCAUGGUUUAUUCCUUCAACCUACUUUUGUUUCAAAACCUAUGGCUCUCUAUGCUUUCUGUGAUGCUGAUUGGGCAUCAGAUAUUGAUGACAGACAUUCCACGUCAGGAGCAGCUAUCUUUCUUGGCUCAAACUUGAUAUCCUGGUGGUCCAGGAAGCAAAAAGUCACGGCAAGGUCCAGCACUGAAGCUGAAAAUCGAAGCUUGGCUCAAACAUCUACUGAAUUAACCUGGAUUCGAACUCUUCUAACAGAAUUACAUGUUUCUUUUCAAACUCCUGUGAUUUACUGUGAUAAUCAAAGUGCAGUGUCCAUAGCUCACAAUCCAGUGUUCCAUAGUAGAACAAAACAUAUGGAAAUUGGUGUCUUUUUUGUAAGAGAACAAGUUUUGGCCAAACAACUCUCAGUUGUGCAUCUUCCUGCCUUAGAUCAAUGGGCAGCUGUCUUAACCAAGCCACUUUCCUCAAUAAGAUUUGAAGCACUAAGGGACAAACUCGAUGUGAAGCAUUUUUCUGUAGAAAAACCUUCCCCUUGAGUUUGUGGGGGGUAUUAGAAUGAAUGUAUAAAAAUAACUGAUUACAAACAGUUAUUGCAGGACAGUUAGACAGCUAACUACUUUUCUUUCACUAACAGAAUUCUGUUAAUUAGUUGUUAGUUAGUUUGUGAUUAGUUUCAAGGGCUAGAGGUUUAUAAAUACCUCCUUUGUAACUGCAUUAAAUGUUAACUUUUUCAGAAUCAAUAAUAUCAGUUUUUCUUUUUUUUCUGUUCUCUCUGUUCUCUAAUUCUGAUACAACUCAGUAUUUAUAGAUCUGAGUGAUUAGUUAUGACUAACUAACUCACCAACUAACUUACUAACUGACUCAUAAUAGAAAACGAACUCCUAACUAACUGACUUGAUUGAGAGUGCAGUUGAAUACUGCAAGUCUCUGUACAAUACUCUAAUAAGCUGAAUAAUUUACGUCGUGUUUGUUCUACUUGAAUUAUGAUAUGUACUAAAUGCUUGUGCAAGUUAGCAAAUUAAUUUUAAACUUAAGGUAUCAAAGAGAGAAUGGUAUUAACGUGUUAGGUAUAUAAUUCAGGAUCUGAAAAAACGAAGAUAGAGUGAGGUGUAGUUAUCUUACUUUUUUUCAGUUACAUAUAUAACCUUGCAUCCGUUGUUACUUUAUUUAACAUUUAAAAUAACUUUUAGAAUCUUGGGGGCAAAUGAUAGUGAGCCAAAGUUUAGUUUCUUCAUGUACCUUUCUGUAUGAUUUUGGUUGUAACUGCAAUUCUACACAUAAAUGAUUAUUAUUUCUCAUUAUCAUUUUUUUUCUUCUGAAU